CUGGGCGUAAGCGCACGCAGGCGGUCUGUCAAGUCGGAUGUGAAAUCCCCGGGCUCAACCUGGGAACUGCAUUCGAAACUGGCAGGCUAGAGUCUUGUAGAGGGGGGUAGAAUUCCAGGUGUAGCGGUGAAAUGCGUAGAGAUCUGGAGGAAUACCGGUGGCGAAGGCGGCCCCCUGGACAAAGACUGACGCUCAGGUGCGAAAGCGUGGGGAGCAAACAGGAUUAGAUACCCUGGUAGUCCACGCCGUAAACGAUGUCGACUUGGAGGUUGUGCCCUUGAGGCGUGGCUUCCGGAGCUAACGCGUUAAGUCGACCGCCUGGGGAGUACGGCCGCAAGGUUAAAACUCAAAUGAAUUGACGGGGGCCCGCACAAGCGGUGGAGCAUGUGGUUUAAUUCGAUGCAACGCGAAGAACCUUACCUACUCUUGACAUCCAGAGAACUUUCCAGAGAUGGAUUGGUGCCUUCGGGAACUCUGAGACAGGUGCUGCAUGGCUGUCGUCAGCUCGUGUUGUGAAAUGUUGGGUUAAGUCCCGCAACGAGCGCAACCCUUAUCCUUUGUUGCCAGCGGUUAGGCCGGGAACUCAAAGGAGACUGCCAGUGAUAAACUGGAGGA
rnacentral:rRNA from 1 species